CUCGAGAUUUCUUGUGGAAUAUAAGUCCUUAAAAAUCUAAUUAAGAAACGAUUUCGCACAUUUUUGUUAUACUGCUUGGCUCGGUUUGAAUCAAUAAAUACACUUGACAUCAAUAUUACCGCUAGGAACCAAAAUAGGUGUCGGUAUCUGUCAUGCAAGUGCGAAUACAUUCACGGCAAGUUCUUAGUGACAUUCAACCGACGGAGAAAGCUUAUGAGGUGAGACGAUGAGCUGAUCCCACUCCCACGAAAGACGGAUUUAAUUUUAUACCCAACUACUUCUGGUUUCAAAGUGUAUUACCAAUUAGUGUUCCAAGAUCAUCCAAUGGUUAAUCUACCACUGCUUCUACAGUUGCUUUGUCACAACUAAUUGAUCUUUGGAAUUCAAUAGCGGUCCUUACACGUUCAAUAUGCACUGAUAAAACUAUCGAGUGGAAUGAAAGCCCUAAAAGACUUUCAUAAUUGACGUCAGACUGCAGGGGAAGUGGCAGGAUGAGAAAAUCCAUCAGAACUGAGCCAAGGAAGCAUUUUGAGAGGAUCUCAAUAAAUGAAAAUGUUGCAUUAGCUAGCGAUGUGCAGCUGCGAGGACGUGUGUUCACUUCUGCGGAAACAGUAAAUUCCAUAUUAAAUUUGCAAAAGGGCGAAUAAGAUUUGUAAACAAACUUUUAUUUUGAUGAUUUCUCUUAAUUUACUAUAAUUUCAAAGCAGAAAACAACUGAAAUUACUUCUACGAAGGGUAAAAAUUUACAUUAACGCAUAUUUUUCAUGAAAUUGCACUCUGCAGCAGACUAAUGAGCGAAACAAGUUUGUUUACAAAAAACAGUUUCGCUCUUUUGACGAAUUAAUAUUGAAUUAUCUCUCCAAAUUGUGAGAAGUAAUUGGUAGAUGUUUCGAUAUGCAUACGAUAAGAAAGUUUUAUCUAGCGAGGAGCUACUCAAGGCUGUUUUGAGUCGCGAUAAUAAUCUGUUGUUUAGUUUUUUUUGCGUUGUAAGAAUAUUGGUUUUUGUCAAAUAAUAACUACUAGUGCAAAUUCCUACAAACAUGUAAUUUUAUUGAAAAAGCUGAAACAGAUUGCAAUGUUACCACAUUUCAAAAUGCUCGUGCUGUACACAUGAUCAGUUCAAGAUACAUUUGGCUGGUAUUCUGAGCAGCAAACUUCUAAGUUAUUCGUUUGGUAGACCGCCCCUCAAACAGAGAUCCAUGAAACAAAAUGCGCUGUUACAUAGUGGUACUUUCCGAGUCCCCGCUGGACCGGAAUGACAUUUGCUGCGUUCUUUGUUUAUAUGGCUGAUCAGCUGUUGUUUGGAAACCUGGGAACAGCCGAGCAGCAACAGUAAAUAAGCGCAGCGAAUUCA